rnacentral:tRNA from 1 species
AAUUAGGUGACUCAGUGAAUAGAGAGUGCCAGGCAAAAGACCUGAAGACCUAGGUUCAAAUCUUUCCUAGUUG